rnacentral:rRNA from 1 species
GAUGAACGCUGGCGGCGUGCUUAACACAUGCAAGUCGAACGGGAAAUAUUUCAUUGAGACUUCGGUGGAUUUGAUUUAUUUCUAGUGGCGGACGGGUGAGUAACGCGUGGGUAACCUGCCUUAUACAGGGGGAUAACAGUCAGAAAUGGCUGCUAAUACCGCAUAAGCGCACAGAGCUGCAUGGCUCAGUGUGAAAAACUCCGGUGGUAUAAGAUGGACCCGCGUUGGAUUAGCUAGUUGGUGGGGUAACGGCCCACCAAGGCGACGAUCCAUAGCCGGCCUGAGAGGGUGAACGGACACAUUGGGACUGAGACACGGCCCAGACUCCUACGGGAGGCAGCAGUGGGGAAUAUUGCACAAUGGGGGAAACCCUGAUGCAGCGACGCCGCGUGAAGGAAGAAGUAUCUCGGUAUGUAAACUUCUAUCAGCAGGGAAGAUAGUGACGGUACCUGACUAAGAAGCCCCGGCUAACUACGUG